rnacentral:lncRNA from 1 species
AUCUUCUUCUGGGAAGGGAUAGAGUGGCGGUGAUGAUGAGGAUUGGGACCUUCUGGUGCUGAUAUAUGGAAGAAGUGGCUCUUUCUCCAUACGGGUUUGGCAGGAAAACCACUUUUAAGUUACCGGAAUACCAGAAUCCAGGUGGGUUUGCUGUCAUACGGUGAUUACUUGAUGUGGGUCAGCUCUAUAUCUGUUAGUGCGCUAGAAAAUGAGAAAAAGAUUGAAAC